UACAACUCUCUCUUUUUGUAAAAGCUUUAUUUAUUUUACUUAUAUGAGUACACUGUAGCUGUCUUCAGACACACCAGAAGAGGGCACCAGAUCCCAUCACAGAUGGUUGUGAGCCACCAAGUGGUUGCUGGGAUUUGAACUCAGGACCUCUGGAAGAGCAGUCAGUGCUCUUAACCCCUUAGCCAUUUCUCCAACCCCCACAACUCUCUUUUUAUUGAAGUGGCAUUUGUCUCAUAAAAUCAGAAGGAGAAAACCAAUUUUCUCUGUAUUUUUCUACACAAGUGUUGGAUUACUUCUUAUAAAGUUUUUUUAAGUAGAAUUUACCACCAGUAGUCCCCUGUGAUCCUAGACUUUCUGUCAGAGAUUCCCAGAUAACAGGUAAGUACUUUAAUGCCCACUAAACUGUUCUCAUCUAUGCUCACAGUUUGUUAACUUUCAUUUUUCUACGGAUUUUUCCAUCUCACCCCAACAGACAAAUUAAUUCAUGCUAAAAUGUUCAUGUCUUCUUAUCAUUCUUAGGUUUCCUUCAUUGUUUUUUAUUGCUGUUUAUUUGUGUGCAAUUGUGUGUGUGUGUGUGUGUGUGUGUGUGUGUGUGUGUGUGUGUGUGUGACAGCACUGAAAUAGUAAUGUACACUGAGCAGUUGAGAUGAAAUUGAUGGGGAAAAUUGAACAGAAGUAGAGAAAGUUAUUGGUGAAAGUGAGUGCUAUUUGAGAUCAUUAAUGGAACCUGGGUGGUGGCUGCUGCUGACAGAGAGAGAGAGAGAGAGAGAGAGAGAGAGAGAGAGAGAGAGAGAAGGGUGGUGGGAAGCUUAACAUAUUGCUGCCCGGGUAGCAUGGAAAAUGUAAAAUACAUUUAAGCCAAGCAGUUAAACAUGUCCCUUGGCUUCUGCUCGCUGCUCAUUCUGCACCAGACAAGCACAGGGAGAAGCUGCAAGAACUGAAAAGAAUUCAACUCCAGUAGGUGCUGGCUUUGAAAUCAAAAGCAGUUCUCAGUCCAAGGUUUUACAGAUGGCAAACAAUUGUUGAGGUUAAGAAAUAACUUUCAGGCACAUAUCAAUCAAUCAAGCCCCUCCCCCCCCCAUGUGAUCUAAAGACGAAGCAGAUGGUAGAACCUGUCAAUGUCUUUGUGAAGAGUUUAGAAAAAUCUAAAGUAAUGUCCCGGGGGACUGUUCUGUGAGAGAGAAAAAGUUCUGCAAGAAUUUGAAAACUAUACCUCACCAGCCCCAGAAGCUCAAGGUUGAGAAGAUCUUCCAAAGAAGAUAUUGAUGGAUAUAGCUUUUCGUUCAUACACAAUAAGAUGCGGACAAAAAAUAAAUAAAUAAAAAGGAAUUGCACUAACUAAAAUCGUCCUUGGACAGAAAGAGAUCAAGACUUCAAUAUAAUGUCAGGAGGCCUUUGAAUUCAGACAACGGAUCAAGACAGCAUGGAAGGAAGGAUCCAAAGAGUGGACCAAAGACGAAACAAUACCAAUGCCACUUCGAGUGGACCGGGAAGGGUGGAAUGAGAAUUCCAGAGAAUAGCUCAAAGAUGUCACAGAACCAAGAUGGACAUGGAACCAAGAGUGCAGAGAGUGGACCAAAGCCGUACAGAAUCAGUCGCAGGGAGCACUGGAACUGCAUUUGAUGACGUGUUGCGCUGUAGACUUCAAAAUCCCCGCCUACCUAUGAUUUCUGCCUUCUCAUAUGAUUUCUGCCUUCUCAUCUUCCUCUUUUCUACUGGGAGGGAUCGCGGCAGUUACGAUGUGGCUGCCUCACUAUUGCCAAGCUGGGCGCCAGGAAGCCUAGAACUACCCCCAUUGUCCUACUACUACUCCGAUCAACAGGAAUGACUCAAAAAACUGUAUUUGAGGAAGGGCAGUUUCACAUCCAGGAGCCCCACCUGCCCCUGCUUCCCGUGAUGUUUAAAUCGUAUGAGAUGAGUCCGGGUUAAAAUUAAACGUUCGAUUAUAGAACUACCGUACAAGAACUCCUUAGUGAUAAAAGACAAUGAGCAGGAAGGGCUCCCUCCCUGCCCUCCAAGUUAUCCCUGAUUGGUCAAUAGAAAUGCCAACAGCCUAUAGCUGGGCGGAACGGAGGUAGGUGGGGCUUCGGUUUCCAGGCUUGAGGUCUGAGGCAGAGACCAAGAGGAGGGAAGGAGAGAGGACCGUGCCAUGAGAAGGCGAGUCCACACUGACGGAGGAGGCCUGUCAGCAGGUGGUUGGAGCUGUGGGGAACGAGCAAAAGAAACGUAUUCUAAGUACUACCAUUUCAUUUUCAGACUCUGUCUAAUCAGAGAAACUAAAGAUGUCAGGCCUUGGAGGAGCCGGGGACUUCCUUAUAGCUGAACAGCUUCUGUUGUAAAAUGUCUGAUUCCAGACAUCUCAAGGACAACUUCUCCCUCUUGCUGCUGGGGUCAAACAAGUUCAUGGUCCCAGGCUUGGGAACGAACACCUAUCCCACUUCUCCAAAUGUUUUCUGAAGCCAGGUGCCCUGGAUACAGCCCAGUCUCCAACAGAUACUCCCUUGCUUAGUCCAUAAUGUCAAGAUACAAUUGCGUGGCACUGCAGCUCCCCCUAGGUUGUGUUCCCAUCCUUUAAAAAUGUGGUACAAUCUCCCUUUGGUGACACGGUUCAGAUCCUGACUUGGCCACCUCCCUGAACACUCAGAAAAUAAAGCUUUCGCUUCUAA